rnacentral:rRNA from 1 species
UAGUCCACGCCGUAAACGAUGGAUACUAGGUGUCCGGGAUAUUAACCUCCUGGGUACUACAGUUAACGCGUUAAGUAUCCCGCCUGGGGAGUACGGUCGCAAGGCUAAAACUCAAAGGAAUUGACGGGGGCCCGCACAAGCGGUGGAGUAUGUGGUUUAAUUCGAAGCAACGCGCAGAACCUUACCUACCCUUAACAUUUCACGACGUAUACAGGGAUGUAUAUUUCUCUUCGGAGACGUGAGGAUAGGUGCUGCAUGGCUGUCGUCAGCUCGUGUCGUAAGAUGUUGGGUUAAGUCCCGCAACGAGCGCAACCCUUAUUUCUAGUUGCCAUUUGGAACUCUAGAAAGACUGUCGGUUAUAAACCGGAGGAAGGCGGGGAUGACGUCAAGUCAGCAUGCCCCUUAUGCCCUGGGCUACACACGUGCUACAAUGGACGAGACAAUGAGUUACAAAUCUGCGAAGAUAAGUUAAUCUAUAAACUCGUUCUAAGUUCGGAUUGUAGGCUGCAACUCGCCUGCA